rnacentral:lncRNA from 1 species
AUGGCCUUCCUUGAAAGACCUGAGCAAGGACUGUUCCUGGAUUCUCCUGAACAGAUCACUCUCGGAUCAUCUGUGAGGGGACGUGGGAUGCCCUGCCACACAACAACUCUCAAACCUAACGAGCAACCUGAUGUGAUUCCACUCGGCUACCUCUGGAUUAUCCAGCGGCCUUCUGCUCUGAAUGCAGAAGUGUUCUUCUAAGGAUAAGACAAAAUGUUCCCUUGCAAAGGGCCCGACGGUAGCAGGGACAGAGUUUGGCACCAGCAGAUUGUCACAGAGCCACUGAGACAACCAGAAGCAAGGAGAAAACCAUUCGACAGCCUUGCUGCCAUUAUGCAUUAAGUUUUUCUCCCAUUUCACAACAGACCCAGGGCAAGGUCUGGAAGCAGAAGAGCAACUCAGGGUAAAACUGAUCAGUUGUGCUUUCAGAGGAGCCAGGAGGACUCAGCUGAUCACACCAUGUGUGGAGACAGAGGUGACUCUGUUGGGCAUAAGUUAUAGUGCAUCGAGAGUCCAUGUGGGCAUUGAACCUAUUCUUACAGGUUAACAAACAAAUAUGUCACAGAUUGAGGACACAUUGGGGUUAAAAGAGAAGACCCAUGGGGUAGUGGCUCUGCCUACAACAGACCAAAGCAUCUGGAAAUCUGGCUGGGGCAGACGUGCACCUGGGGGACUGAGGAGGGUACUUGGGGUGUGACAUCCAGAUUGGCUGAGGCCUAGACAGCCCAGCUGAAGAGUCAGAGAUCGGCAAGGAGCCCCGGGAAGGGCCUCAGUGGGAGAAUAGGAUCUUGCAGCAGGUCAGGGGAUUUAUUUGCUGGCAAUGUCCCCAGGGACCUGUGAGUAAAUCUAGAGGGCACUGAGGGGUGACGAGGCCCAUUAUUCAUCAGAAUGAGACAUGGCCAAUUCAGCCCUCAUUAGGGGUCGGAGCUGGGCGGUGAGAGGUCAGGCCCCAGCAGCAACCUGGGAAUAGAUGAGAAAAAGCUUUUGCCACUCUGGAAAGAUGAAAAGAAAUGCACCUAGAUUUUUUUUUUUUUUUUAAAGGUAAAGUCAGCCCUAAAGGAACUACAGAAAAAAAUGUUUACAUUAGACCAGGUAAAUUGUUCCAGGCGACUCUCUCAGUGAAGAAAGCUGGUUAAGCAGGAAGAGAGGAAGUAGGAUCCCAAAGCAUUAAUCACACUGAAUUGCAAAUUAUCUGUUCCCUGUCUUAUUCAUUUUUAUAUCUCUAGUUAGUACCUUACAAAAUGCUUGACACACAGUAAGUGCUAAAUAAAUAUUGAUGAAUGAAUGUCAGACUUUUUCAUCUCUAAUGUAAUCACAAUCGGGAACCAGGCAGGAAGCCAUAUAUUAUAGUAUUUUUGAGGCCAGCAUGAACUGUGGCUACCCAGAUAGGUUCUUAGAAAGCAUGAUUUGUGGGAUCUAAAAAUGUUCUAUUGCUCCAGAAUAUCUCCGAAUUCCUGAAUAGCUGAAUCUCCUUGAUUCACACACUUUCUACGGGUCAUUAUAAUGCGGUUAAGUGCUGCAUAUGGAUUAUCUCACUUUCGGGUAAUAUUACCAUCCCCAUUUUAUGGUGGAGGAACUGGAAUCUAAGGGAUUUAAGUUGACAGCUGUGGUAAAGAUCUGAAUGACUCCAGAGAUUGGGCUUUUCAGCACUGUUCUAUCCUGCCUCCUACACUAUUCCAAAAAGCCUGCAACAAUACAAAUAUGCAAGAGAGAGGGAAAAAAAUAGUCAAUCAUUAGCAUAUUUGUUUGAAUUGAUUCUUCAGAUAAAUUAACUAGGCAUUAAGCUGGACCCUGGAGAGAGAGAAUUUAAGUUUGAGGAGAAGGAUGUUUCUGAAAAUUCCAAUCCCAGGAUUCUGACUCACUUAUUUAGCACUUCCUGUGUGCUGGGCAUCUUGUAAAGUACUAACUAGAGAUCCCUGUCCAUAUGGGUCUGUCUCUAUCAGGCCAGUUUCAUUUUCUGCCAGGGAAAACCCUUUUUCCACAUGUGUAUACCAUAAAAGAUGCAGUACUUGCUUAAGUUUAUUAUUAAAAACUUAAUUACUCAUAGAAUUGGGUAAACUUUUUCUUUACACUACUAUAUCACCAAGAGCUGGAGAUCCAAUUGAAUGUGGAGAUUCUCCAAGGGAACAUCCAAAGAAUGGCUUCAUAAAAUGUGCUAUUGUCCUAUUAACUGGGGAGUGAGGCCAUAUUACAGUUAUGAACUUCAUUGCAGGAAAAGCUCUAUAGCAAAAGCUCUGUUCAAAUGGUCAUCUCUUAAGGAAUGAUGAAUGUUUUUAGAAAGUGUCUUUAGUAAACAUUUCACAGAAAAUUGAAGCCAUAACCUACGUAAUUUUUGUUAUGUGUAUUUGAGACCACCUCUUUUUUCCCCCCAGAACUACCCAGAGAUUUUCGUGAGGGUAAACAUAGCCCGUGGUGUACCCUGUGAUAUUAGCAGUUUACUUAGUUGUCUUUCCCAACAUAGUGAAGCUCUAACCCAUGUUAAUAGUUACAGCGAAAGGUAACAUUUGCACAUCUAGAAUCUUGAGUUCCCUGGGAAAAUUGAGUUUUUCCUUAGCAGAGAUUCCAGAGAUUUAUAGUAAAUAGUAUAAGAAACUAUUGGAAUAAAAAAAAAAGAAAAGAAAAGAAACUAUUGGAAUUAAUCCUUCCUCAAAUUGAGCAUGCAAAGCUUAGAAAUUAAGAGGCUGCCAGCAUACUUUUGCUGUGACUUAAAGGCAUCUGGAUAUCUAAUAUAUAGUAAGUAUAAAGUAUACCUAACAUAAUAUUAGAUAUUAUAUAAUAUAUGAUUUGAUAUACUAUUGUAUUGAUAUAUUUACAUAUAUUUAUGUGCAGAUGUGUAUUUAAUGGUCUUCCAUGUGCCAGGUAUUUAGAAUAACAAUGAACUAAUACUUACUGAACACUUAUUGAAUGUCAGGCACUGUGCUUUAAAUCCUAUUGUAGAACUUCAUCAGAGAAAGCUUUAUUGGUUACUAUUGUCAUCUCUGUUUGACAAUAAGAAAACCAAGGCAGAGAGAGGUUAAGUGACUUGCCCAAAGCCACCCAGCAAGUAGCAGAAUGGAGAUUUGAAGCCAGGCAUCUGACUCCAGAGCCCAUGCUCUUGAGCCACUUUACACAUGUGGUCUCAACUAAUUAAUAAAUUCUAAAGCAUUGGUGACAAAGCUCCGUUUCUGACUUAUUUGUGUUUACCUUUGUCAAUUAAGACCUCACAUAAGCAUUUAUGCCUCUUGUGCAUUUCACCCAAAUGAAGGCUGGUUUAUGGCAGAAAAAUAACCUUCACACAAGGUCAAUCAAUGUGUAAAAUGUGAAAAUAUCCUUGUGUCUGGCAAAACAUUUUGAAGUUGAAGUUCAUCUCAAGCUAAUACUGACCCGACUUCCUUUGUCAUAUUCAUUAACCUUCUUUCACUUUUGAAACUGAUUCUGAAAUACUAGCACCAACUGCUUAAUCACCACAUAAGGUAACUUAUACCUUGUUAGCCCGACGAUGGUUUGUUAAAGCACAGGGUCAUUUGAAGCAUACUAUUUCCUACCCAACUAAGUGGACUGUUGCUUCUCACUAAAGUAUUAGAUAAUCUAAAUCUAGUUCAUUCAGAACUUUCCAAAGCUCUUUGCUGUUUUUCAAAUUAAUGAGAGGUUUCACUGUAUACAACAUUGUCAUUAAAAUUUAGAAAGUGUAAAUAAAUAAAUAAAUAAAUAAAUAAAUAAAUAAAAUUUAGAAAUGCUGUGGGAAACAAGAUAGCAUGCUUUAUAAUUUUACUUUUAUUUGCACACUUGGACAUUAAACCGUUAAACUUUCACAAAUCUUCAGGACUUAAAAAUAUUCCGUUCAAAGCUGAACAUGAUUAACAUUAUCAAUAUUUAUUCAAAGUGCACUUCGAGUAGUUAAUAUGCCUCAAAUUACAACCUUUUACUUAGACAAUCCAUCAAAAUAAUUUUCAAGAUAUUUUUGAAACAUACAUUUAUUUAUUUUGGCAGUUCAGUGUUAAAAAAAAAGCCCUCACUUUUCUGAGUAGUGAAUUCAGCCCAAGAUAGGUCAAGAUUCAUCUUUAAUAUUAGCAGAGUGAUACCAGCUUUCUUUCUUUGGUUUAACUUUGCAGGGUAUAUCUUUUCGUUCCUUUUUCUAUCUUCUUAUUUUUUUAGUUAUUUCUAUUUGUUUCAGUUUUAUUGAAUUAAUUGGCAUACUACAUUGUGUAAAUUUAAGGUGUAUCGCUUGACAUGCAUGUAUUGUGAGAUGAUUAUCACAAUAAAGUUGGUUAACCUCGCAUAAUUACAGUGUUUGUGUGUUGUGAGAACACUUAGGAUUUAUCUCCUUAGCAACUUUCAAGUAUAUAAUAUAGUAUUGUUAACUAUAGUCAUCAUGCUGCAUAUUAGAUCCCCAGAAUUUGUUCAUCUUCCAGUUAGAAGUUUGUAUCCUUUGACCAACAUCUUCCCAUUUACCACCCCCACCUUUAGCCCCUGACAACCACCAUUCUAAUCUGUUUCUAUGAAUUAAGCUUUUUUUUAGAUUCCACAUAUAAGUGAGGUUAUAUAGUAUUUGUAUUUCUCUGACUUAAUUUACUUAAUGCCCUCGAGGUCCUUCCAUAUUGUCACAGUUUAUAAGAUUUUUCUUUCUUUUUUUUUUUUAAUGGCAUACCCAUCAACGGACACUUAGGGUGUUUCAAUGUCUUGG